rnacentral:rRNA from 1 species
AUUGAACGCUGGCGGCAGGCCUAACACAUGCAAGUCGAGCGGAGCGGCCGACGGACGGGUAAUGCCUAGGAAUCUACCUGGUUGUUGGGGAUAACGAACGGCAGGAGGCGCUAGUAAAUCACACUAUCCAUUAAGCCUAGCUCGGAGUAACGAGUUGGUGGGGUAAGGGCCGACCAAGGCGACGAUCCGUAACUGGUCUGAGAGGAUGAUCAGUCACACUGGAACUGAGACACGGUCCAGACUCCUACGGGAGGCAGCAGGGGGGAAUAUUGGACAAUGGGCGAAAGCCUGAUCCAGCCAUGCCGCGUGUGUGAAGAAGGUCUUCGGAUUGUAAAGCACUUUAAGUUGGGAGGCGUUACCAACAGAAUAAGCACCGGCUAACUUCGUGCCAGCAGCCGCGGUAAUUC